AUUCCAGCUCCAAUAGCGUAUAUUAAAGUUGUUGCGGUUAAAAAGCUCGUAGUUGGAGUUCUGCCAGGUGGCGCUCGUCCGCCCAAGUGGUGUGUACAGGGCGUGCAUCUGGCCCUUUCAAGGGGAACGUGUCUGCACUUCAUUGUGUGGUGCGAGAUCCUUGACUUUUACUUUGAGGAAAUAAGAGUGUUCCAAGCAGGCUCUCGUCGUGCAUAGCUCAGCAUGGAAUAAUAGCAUUGGACUUCGUUUCUAAGCUGUUGGUUGCAAGAAGCGAGGUAAUGAUGAAGAGGGAUAGUUGGGGGCAUUCGUGCUCCGCCGAGAGAGGUGAAAUUCUCAGACCAGCGGAAGACGAACCACUGCGAAAGCAUUUGCCAGGGAUGUUUUCAUUA
rnacentral:rRNA from 1 species